rnacentral:lncRNA from 1 species
GGUUGGUCAAUUGAAAUUGUGUCAGUUAAGAGUUAUUUAGCAUCGACAAUAAUUUUGCUACCUUUAUAUUUUCCCCUUGAAAAAUUUAAGAAUGAGAUGUUUCUGAGGGAGCACAAAUGACAAUUCGGUGCCACAGUAUCCUAGAAAGAGCAUUUUUAUUUUGACUUUCUUUGCAUUUUAUUGAAGGGUGUAUCACUUCAAUAUAGCGUGAUAUGGAUUGGCCUCUGGAAUAUGCAUGAAUUUUUAAUUGACGUUUUCAAUCAGCCUUAAUUUUUGUGUCUGUUCGAAGUAGCACGUUCUUAAUUCCGACUGAAAGUGUCUUUCUAAUACAACACAGGGUACAUAUAACGUGUUCUCGUUCACAUAUGAACAUGUGUACGGAUUGAUAGUUUAGUCUUACUUGCAUGAUAUUUUUAUUAGAUGUUAGUGGCUUUGAACUAGCUGUCAGAUAACUGCGAGUACUCUCAGAUUUGUUCAUUGUGUCUUUUUGUGUCGGGAUGUAUAAGUACCGGGCCACGUCCACUUAUAUUUUUGUCCAUCUGAUUAGUUAAGCCUUUUUCAACUGAUUUUUAUAGUUCGUUCUUAUGUUGUACUGUUAUACCACUGUCCCAGGUUAGGGGAGGGUUGGGAUCCCGCUAAUAUGUUUAACCCCGCCACAUUAUUUAUGUAUGUGCCUGUCCCAAGUCAGGAGCCUGUAAUUCAGUGGUUGUCGUUUGUUUAUGUGUUACAUAUUUGUUUUUCGUUAUUUUUUUUACAUAAAUAAGGCCGUUAGUUUUCUCGUUUUAACUGUUUUACAUUGUCUUAUCGGGGCCUUUUAUAGCUCACUAUGCGGUAUGGGCUUUGCUCAUUGUUGAAGGCCGUAAGGUGACCUAUAGUUGUUAAUGUCUGUGUCAUUUUGGUCUUUUGUGGAUAGUUGUCUCAUUGACAAUCAUACCACAUCUUCUUUUUUAUAUGAUAUUUGUCACUGGACGUUAAAUCCUAAUUCGUCAGCAUCAUCCAAUUGGUUCUUCUCUUCUAUUACUUAAUCAUAUGUUGUUUACAAAUCACUCUAAAGAAGUAAACGGAAAGGAACGAAUGCAGCUACAUUUGAUUAUUUUAAGUUUCAAUUCAUUUUAUUCCGUUUAGUUCCUUUCUACAUAAGUGCAGAGGAGAACUACAGUUGUCUAUGGUGGCCGGUAAAUUACAUUUCGCGUUUUCGCGAUUUCGCCUUUCAUAUUCUAUGGGGCGAAAACGCAAAAUCGCGAAGUCAAAAACGCGAAAACGCGAAGUCGAAAACGAGAAUUCGGUUUCGCGUUUUCGACUUCGCAAUUUCGCGUUUUCGCCAUAUAGAAUAUGAAAGGCGAAAACGCUUAAGCGCUGAAAC